rnacentral:lncRNA from 1 species
AAGUUGUUUCCUUGAGGACAAGGAAAGGUUUAAGUUUGGGGUUGUGAUGACGGAUCGUCACACUCUCUAAUCCAUGCCUAUUUUAGCAAUAUUAAAUGCUUUUUAGUAGGUUUUUAGCAAUAAAUAUAAGAGAAAUCUAAUUAGAAACUUGAUUACUUGUUUUACAAGAAAAUAGGAAAAUUGCAGGAAACUACUGAGGUUCACUACGCUGGGGGCGUAGCCCAUCACGCGCCGCGUGAUGGAGAUCACAGGGAGCCAAGUUUUCACUCUUAUCACGCGCGGCGUGAAACCUGACCACGCGCGGCGUGAAGCUUUGUUCAGGAAUUGGUUUGCUCUCUGACUUGAUCACGCGCAGCGUGAUUCUAUUACCACGCGCGGCAUAGUUGAUGAUUCUGUUACCACGCGCGGCGUGAUAGAUCUGACGCGCGGCGUGGUUGCAAUAUUAUAUAAGGAAUUCUGUUUUUCUGAGAAAUGUUGGGAAAAAUUUGGGGAAUCUGAUCUUGAUCGUGGGAAUUCCAGGCACGAUUGAAGACUGAUCCUGUGUUCCAGAGGCUAAAGGUGGCUAGAUUGGAAGCAUUCAACAUCAUGGGAGUGGAUUCUUUGAAGUUGGAGCAAGAAUCGAGCUACUUCACGAUGAN